rnacentral:misc_RNA from 1 species
AAGUCGUAACAAGGUAACCGUAGGUGAACCUGCGGUUGGAUCAUUAACAAAUUAUUUAGGCCCCUGGAUGCCCCAAAAGGGCGAAGGGGGGAAACCUAAACAUUUGUGUGCACUAUAUCUGUCCUUGGCAGUUCGAGUGUCCUGGGUUGCGUCACUGCCUCAGGUACCUACCGAUGCUUUAUCCUUGGGUAUUGCUGAAGUUGGGCUGCCGCCUUUUGAACAAACCUUCUGUAUCUUUUUUUUGUCUGAAUUUGUUUGAUCUUUAUGAUUGAAUUUAAAUACAACUUUUGACAACGGAUCUCUUGGCUCUC